CUGGACUCAAAUUGGCCAAUAAAAUAUUCCAUAUUAUGUAACGUCAUGCUCAGUAUAUAGAGGAGGGUCGUCUGGGAAGGAGGGCCUCACUUCUGGGAUUGCGGUUUUGGGAUCUUGUUUUUUCUGGGAUCGUUAGCCAAGAGCAGGCUGGGUAACAGUCAGCAGGUGGGAAGGAGCCGAGGAAUGAAGCUGAGAGGGGGAAAAUAAAUAAUUAAAAAAACACAAGCCUAAUCAGAAUCCAGGAAGCAAUGGGCAGCAGAUAUGAGCCACCUGUUGGAAAUAACAGAUGCACCACACACAUGGCCGUGUACUCCCAUCUGUAAACUUGCUUGCCAAGGCCACUUUCCAGAUCUUGCAUUUUCACCUCCAACAAUUCUGUUUUUCUUAAGCUGGUGUCUUCCACAAGCUAAUAGAAAUAAUUGAAUAAAAUAAAAAAAUACACAAGCUCA